rnacentral:rRNA from 1 species
CCUACGGGAGGCAGCAGUGGGGAAUAUUGGACAAUGGGGGGAACCCUGAUCCAGCGAAGCCGCGUGAGUGAAGAAGUAUUUCGGUAUGUAAAGCUCUAUCAGCCGGGGAGAAAGAAAUGACGGUACCUGACUAAGAAGCCCCGUCUAACUACGUGCCAGGAGCCGCGGUAAUCCGGAGGGGGCAAGCCUUCUCCGGAUUUGCUGGGUGUAAAGGGAGCGUAGACGGCGAUGUAAGUCUGAAGUGAAAGGCCGGGGGCUAACCCCCGGACUGCCUUGGAAACUGUAUGGCUGGAGUGCAGGAGAGGUAAGCGGAAUUCGUAGUGUAGCGGUGAAAUGCUUAGAUAUUAGGAGGAACACCAGUGGCGAAGGCGGCUUACUGG